GUCCUAGCCGUAAACGAUGGGCACUAGGUGUGGGGGUCAUCGACUCCCUCCGUGCCGAAGCUAACGCAUUAAGUGCCCCGCCUGGGGAGUACGGCCGCAAGGCUAAAACUCAAAGGAAUUGACGGGGCCCGCACAAGCAGCGGAGCAUGUGGCUUAAUUCGACGCAACGCGAAGAACCUUACCAGGGCUUGACAUGCAGGGAAAAACGGCGGAAACGUCGCGUCCGAAAGGGCCCUGCACAGGUGGUGCAUGGCUGUCGU
rnacentral:rRNA from 1 species